rnacentral:rRNA from 1 species
AUUGAACGCUGGCGGCAGGCUUAACACAUGCAAGUCGAACGAGUGGCGGACGGGUGAGUAUUUCUUGGGCAUCUGGCUUAUGGAGGGGGAUAACGACGGGAAACUGUCGCUAAUACCGCGUACCAUAGGCUGCGCCCAUGUGGGAUUAGUUAGUUGGUGGGGUAAUGGCGUACCAAGGCGACGAUCUCUAGCUGGUCUGAGAGGAGGACCCGCCACACUGGGACUGAGACACGGCCCGGACUCCUACGGGAGGCAGCAGUGGGGAAUAUUGCGCAAUGGGGGCAAGCCUGAUGCAGCCAUGCCGCGUGUAUGAAGAAGGCCUUCGGGUUGUAAAGUACUUUCAGCGGGGAGGCGUUACCCGCAGAAGAAGCACCGGCUAACUCCGUGCCAGCAGCCGCGGUAAUAC